rnacentral:rRNA from 1 species
GGAUUCCCCUAGUAACGGCGAGUGAAGAGGGAAGAGCUCAAAUUUGAAAUCUGGCGGUCUCAGGCCGUCCGAGUUGUAAUCUAGAGAGGCGUUUUCCGUGCCGGACCGUGUACAAGUCCCUUGGAACAGGGCGUCAUAGAGGGUGAGAAUCCCGUCCAUGACACGGACUCCCGGUGCACUGUGAUACGCCUUCGAAGAGUCGAGUUGUUUGGGAAUGCAGCUCAAAAUGGGUGGUAAAUUCCAUCUAAAGCUAAAUACAGGCGAGAGACCGAUAGCGAACAAGUACCGUGAGGGAAAGAUGAAAAGAACUUUGGAAAGAGAGUUAAACAGUACGUGAAAUUGUUGAAAGGGAAACGCUUGAAGUCAGUCGCGUUUGCCAGGACUCAGCCUUGCUUUUGCUUGGUGCACUUCCUGGUAGAUGGGCCAGCAUCGAUUUUGGUCGCCGGAAAAAGGUGAGAGGAAUGUGGCAGCUUGCUGUGUUAUAGCCUCUUAUCAUACACGGUGGCCGGGAUCGUGGACUGCAGCACGCCUUUUGGUCGGGGUUCUCCCACGCCACGUGCUUAGGAUGCUGGCGUAAUGGCUUUAAACGACCCGUCUUGAAACACGGACCAAGGAGUCUAACAUGCCUGCGAGUGUUUGGGUGUCAAACCCAGGCGCGUAAUGAAAGUGAAAAGUUGGGACUCUUCAGUGAGGCACCGACGCCCGAUCCUGACGUUUUCUGACGGAUUUGAGGCAGAGCAUGUAUGUUGGGACCCGAAAGAUGGUGAACUAUGCCUGAAUAGGGUGAAGCCAGAGGAAACUCUGGUGGAGGCUCGUAGCGAUUCUGACGUGCAAAUCGAUCGUCAAAUUUGGGUAUAGGGGCGAAAGACUAAUCGAACCAUCUAGUAGCUGGUUCCUGCGAGUUUUC